rnacentral:rRNA from 1 species
CUGAUUCCUACGGGAGGCAGCAGCGGGGAAUAUUGCGCAAUGGGCGAAAGCCUGACGCAGCGACGCCGCGUGCGGGAUGAAGGCCUUCGGGUUGUAAACCGCUUUCAGCAGGGACGAAGCGCAAGUGACGGUACCUGCAGAAGAAGGUCCGGCCAACUACGUGCCAGCAGCCGCGGUAAUACGUAGGGACCGAGCGUUGUCCGGAUUCAUUGGGCGUAAAGAGCUCGUAGGCGGCUGUUCAAGUCGAACGUGAAAACUCGGGGCUCAACUCCGAGCCUGCGUUCGAUACUGGAUGGCUAGAGUCUGGUAGGGGGAUCUGGAAUUCCUGGUGUAGCGGUGGAAUGCGCGGAUAUCAGGAGGAACACCGGUGGCGAAGGCGGGAUCCUGGGCCAGUACUGACGCUGAGGAGCGAAAGCGUGGGGAGCAAACAGGAUUAGAUACCCUGGUAGUCCACGCCGUAAACGAUGGGCGCUAGGUGUGGGAGGUCAUCGACUCCUUCCGUGCCGCAGCUAACGCAUUAAGCGCCCCGCCUGGGGAGUACGGCCGCAAGGCUAAAACUCAAAGGAAUUGACGGA